rnacentral:rRNA from 1 species
GCGGUAAUACGGAGAGGGCUAGCGUUAUUCGGAAUUAUUGGGCGUAAAGGGCGCGUAGGCGGAUUAGUAAGUUAAAAGUGAAAUCCCAAGGCUCAACCUUGGAAUUGCUUUUAAAACUGCUAAUCUAGAGAUUGAAAGAGGAUAGAGGAAUUCCUAGUGUAGAGGUGAAAUUCGUAAAUAUUAGGAGGAACACCAGUGGCGAAGGCGUCUAUCUGGUUCAAAUCUGACGCUGAGGCGCGAAGGCGUGGGGAGCAAACAGGAUUAGAUACCCUGGUAGUCCACGCUGUAAACGAUGAAGUGCUAAA